UUCCCGGACAGGGGACUCCCAGCCCCGACCGCUGCCGCUAGCGAGCAAAGCCACCGCGUCCAUCCCGAGGGCCGCGCGGGAGACGGCGUCGGAGCUCAGCAGGUCCGUUUGCUCCUGCCCCUCAGUCUUUCCGCAUCAGCCUUCAGCUGAAUCGGUGCGUUUGCCCGGUUCAAAAUAACCUCCUGUUUGGGGAGAAAUUGCUCUUCUCGCCCCCAGGAACCCCUCUGCAAGCUUCACCGAGAGACUGCAAACGGAGCUUAGUGCACGAUUAAAAUUCUCCCCUGCACUUGCCCUUUGCAAGGGAAGAGCGGGAGGUGCAGGACGGGGCUCCAACAUUUGCAUCGCUCUCAUACUAUUAUGCUUAAAUUAACAGGGAUUUUUUUGUAAAUUGAAGACUAAUUUUCUCUUGGGAGUAGAUCAUUAAAUUACAGAAUACUAAUGAAAAUUUACAGCGUCUGGAGAGGAGAUGGGGGAGGGGCAAAGGGGGCAUUUUGUUUGGUUUUUUUUUCCUUGGGACCCGGCGAACUAUGGCCGUAGCAGAGGGAAGGAGGCGGCCGYACCGCCGAGGAGCGCAGCAGCGGCGUGAGCAGCCUUGCAGAACCCACGGGCGAGCCCAGGGCCUCGGAGGAGCGAAGGACAGCAGGAAGCACCGCGGGGACGGGCAGUUGCAUCCCAGAAUCACCUUGAGAACGGAGGCCGUGCCGGCUGAUAAUUCCACUGAAUUAAUGAGCGAUUUGGCGAUCGCAGUUUGCCGUUGGCUUUGACUUAAUGUGUCUUACAGCACUGUUUAGAGUUAGUCUAGCAUAUUUUAAAGGCUCCUCCACACCUCCCGCCCCCCGUUCCAGCGCAGCGAAGAAAGCGCUGCACUAGGGACGGGAGCAGCGUGGGAGCCGCCGAGGGGACGGAGCCUGGUCCCGGCCGGCUGGGCGAAGGGGAGGACGGGGAAGCCUGGCCACACCGGCGAAGCCUCCCCGCGAGGCGUCCCUUCCCCGGGAUCGUGCCACCUCCGCGGCCCUGGGGAGGCACCAGGCUGAGCGGGGGGCGGAGAGGCUGAGGCUUCCUCGCUCCCUCCUAGACACACCAUCCUCUUUCCCGGAAUCAUUUUCCAAGGCGCUUUAAACCAAGGACGUGGGACACGCUGUACGCACCUGGCCCUCGGCGCUGACAGCUUGUAUCUGUGAGCUCGCCAGCAGCCAGAUGUUCCAGGGAGGCAAGGAAGAGCAGAUGCUGCACUGCAGAGUGCUGCGGGCGCGCUGCACGGCUCACAGCACGGGCACGGCCGAGCCGCGACUGCCACCGACGAGCAGCCUCCUGCCUUAAACGGGCCGGGAGAGAGGCUGGGGGGCCGGGAGAGGCUCUGAGAUCCCGCCGGCUGCUGGGAUCCCAGGCCUGUCACAGCUUUUCCUCCAGCUGAGAGCUGGAUCCACUCACACUGGCACGGCAAUACUGCUUUGCAAACGAUCCAGGAUCUUAUGAGAGCAAGGACCAGAGAGGGAUUUUCCUCCUUCUAACAGAAGGUGCCAACGUGCGAAUGCCAGGCGAGGCACCCUUGUCCCCCCGCACCGCGCGUUGCUUUGGGGAGCUCUGCCCGGGGCACCGCACUGCCGUGCAAGCGCUGGAGACUCCUUGGGAGCAGGACCAUUCAGCUGGGACAGAACCGAGACGUGUUCACGGGCCAGGAAAACAAAAGAUAAAUAACAUAACCAGGCAAAGCCUUGCCCUCCCUAGCAGGGUUU
ensembl:lncRNA